CGCCUGUUUUUCAAAAACAUUGCCUCAUGAAAUUCUAUACGAGGUAAUUUCUGCCCAGUGAUUAAUUUUAACGGCCGCGGUAUCCUGACCGUGCAAAGGUAGCAUAAUCACUUGCCCUCUAAUUAGGGGCUAGCAUGAAUGAAUAAACAAACCUUAUCUGUCUCAUUAUAAUCAAUAAAAAUUUACCUUCAGGUGAAGAGGCCUGAAUUAAAUAAAAAGACAAGAAGACCCUAUCAAGCUUUAUCUUUCACUUAUAUAAAUAAAUAAAUAAAGAUUUAGUUGGGGCAACAAAAAAUUAUUAUUAACAUUUUUUAAUUAAAACAUAACAUCUAUAUAACAAACUUAUAAAAAACUAUAAGAAAGCUACUGUAGGGAUAACAGGCUAAUACUUUUCAAGAGCUCUUAUCAACAAAAGUGAUUGGCACCUCGAUGUUGGCUUAAGGGCCCUUAUUCAUGCAGAAGUGAAUAAAGGCGGUUUGUUCAACCGAUAAUCCCUUACAUGAUCUGA
rnacentral:rRNA from 1 species